rnacentral:rRNA from 1 species
AUUGAACGCUGGCGGCAGGCUUAACACAUGCAAGUCGAGCGGGGGAAGGUAGCUUGCUACCGGACCUAGCGGCGGACGGGUGAGUAAUGCUUAGGAAUCUGCCUAUUAGUGGGGGACAACAUCUCGAAAGGGAUGCUAAUACCGCAUACGUCCUACGGGAGAAAGCAGAGGAUCUUCGGACCCUGCGCUAAUAGCUGAGACUAAGUCGGAUUAGCGAGUUAGUGGGGUAAAGGCCUACCAAGGCGACGAUCUGUAGCGGGUCUGAGAGGAUGAUCCGCCACACUGGGACUGAGACACGGCCCAGACUCCUACGGGAGGCAGCAGUGGGGAAUAUUGGACAAUGGGGGGAACCCUGAUCCAGUCAUGCCGCGUGUGUGAAGAAGGCCUUAUGGUUGUAAAGCACUUUAAGCGAGGAGGAGGCUACUUUAGUUAAUACCUAGAGAUAGUGGACGUUACUCGCAGAAUAAGCACCGGCUAACUCUGUGCCAGCCGCCGCGGUAACAC